AGCAGCCGCGGUAAUUCCAGCUCCAAUAGCGUAUAUUAAAGUUGUUGCAGUUAAAAAGCUCGUAGUUGAAUUUCGGGAUCAGUACGUCGGUCGUGCCUUCGGUAUGCACUGGUGUCACUGGUUCCUCCCUUCUGACGAACCGUCAUGCCAUUAAUUUGGUGUGGCGGGAAAUCAGGACUGUUACUUUGAAAAAAUUAGAGUGUUUAAAGCAGGCUCACGCUUGAAUACAUUAGCAUGGAAUAAUGAAAUAGGACGUUGAUCUUAUUUUGUUGGUUUCUAGGAUUGACGUAAUGAUUAAUAGGGGAUAGUUGGGGGCAUUAGUAUUCAAUUGUCAGAGGUGAAAUUCUUGGAUUUAUUGAAGACUAACUACUGCGAAAAGCAUUUGCCAAGGAUGUUUUCAUUAAUCAAGAACGAAAGUUAGGGGAUCGAAGACGAUCAGAUACCGUCGUAGUCUUAACCAUAAACUAUGCCGACUAGGGAUCGGAUGAUGUAAUUUUUAAUGA
rnacentral:rRNA from 1 species